UUCAGCCAUCACAGGAUAAUGACCCGAAAUUAGCCUUAUCCAACAGUAACAAUGACUUAUAAAUAGUCAUUUUUUUAUUGGACUCUGCUGCUGUACUGCUAACACAUGGAUGGAGGGCUGUAGGGACUUAGAGCGAGGCUUUUCUGACCAGUUUUCACCCAGGCAUGUCGAUCAUUUAUAAUAACAAUAUCAGUUUUAAUCUAUUUCUACAAAUCGUGCAGUCCAGGCCAGCAAGAUGGUGAAUACUAUCAAACCCUAGCAAAUAACUGGCUGCAUCAUUUUAAGCUACCAGUUGGUAACAAACUGUAACUCAACAGCACAACGAACAUUUCACAUUUGGAGUUGAAUGAACAGUCAUCUGACAAGAAAAAAUUAUUCGGUAAUUAUAAAAAAGGGCAGGGAGAGAGGGAUGCUGGGACAGGAGCACUACACAAGCACUACACAUUCCAUUCCCAUGAAGCCAUGGCAUCCAGCCGACAGUUAACCCCGUGCUGUCCCCCACUCCCCCCGGCCACUGCGGUGGGCGAUACCAGCCCGGCUCGGCGGGACCACAGAGAGACCCGCCUGUGACUUUUAUUUAACAAGUUCACACUCCGGGACGACUGCGGCGUGCUGGGUAAUAACCACCUCGAUGGAAGCGCAGUCCUAGGGGCGACAUGUCACACACACUGCGAUGACAACGAUAAUUCGCUCCCUUCUAGAGGCCGAUUUCCCCACUCCCCUCCUCCCCCUUCUAGGAUGUGAGAUAAACAGCGUGCUAUUAGCAGAGAAUAGAAUAAAUGCAUGCUUUUCUCUCCUUCUCCACAGCCAUUUUCUUUCAAGGACAACAGCUGGGGUGCGCACAUCUCCUUUUUGCCCCUCCGUUUUUUUUGUGCUCACUUCACUAAUGGAUUAAGUUUGGGUUGCUGGAAUAGCCAGGGAGACAAUGUAGAAGAGCGAGAGCACGAAGGUCAGCUCGGUGGUGCGAAUGUUACACGCUCCAAGGUCGCCCGGAUAAAGAUGAUCUGGAAUGUGUUUUUCUUGGUUUUGCAUGAGCGACAUUUUGCCAUGCAGCACCCUUAAUAACGUUCAUGCGUGUUUCGGCAGAAGAAUACAUGCAUAAGUAUAACAGAGGAGGGAGGGAAUGAAGAAAAGAUACAUUUUGUAAAGGAGUAUAAAUCACAAUGACAGGUCACAGAGAGCCAUGCUGUACAGAAGUAUGCAAUGACGUGAACAGGAAGCUUGCAGCAAAGAAAAGACAACAGCAAAUACAUAGCCAAAUAAAAUAAGACAAUUAAACAUUUUCAUCAAACAACAUUUAUGGUGUAAUAGCACUUUUGGAUAUUAUAUACGUAAUGGAAUUUUUAUUAAGAGCUAUUUAUGCUCUUAAAAAAGGUGAGGUCAAAACAUAAUGGGAUUUGAGCACAUACGCGCAGGUGGGUUUCAAUGUCACUCCCGAGUGAUGGUGCCGCAGAAUGACACCGGAGUGAAGGAAGAUGUCUGUAUUCUCAGGAAAACUUCCCUCUGUCCUUGUGUCCCAUUCUCCUCUGCUCCUUCCCUUUCAUGGUUCCUUGUGACGGGUUCAGAAGGAAUCAAGGUAAGGAAACAAGGAAAUGUUUUACAUUUUUUAAUGUGCUCCAUGCCCCUCUGAGCUGAUACGCAUUUUUCCUCUGACAACUAAUGUGGAAAAAAAGUAAUUCUGAACAUGGAGAUCAUAAUGCUCGUCAUUAUGCAAUAAUGACCUUGAUUUGUUUAUUUUAACUUCAAGAAAGGAAUGUUAAUUUGCUUCAUUGAGGGGUUUGAUGAAACCUGGCUUGAGCUAAAACCUGGCUGACAAAAAAAAUGGCUUCCCUUUAUUUUAAUAAUGCUUUUGCCAGCAGUACAGUAUCUGGCAAAUAUCUUUCACUCAGUUAUCGCUGGAUUGAAUCAAACGCCUUCCAGGAAAUUUGUUGAGGCCUUGCAGGCUUUUCAUUGCGGCCUAAUUUAUAACCUCUUAAAUUUCGUCUUUGCUAUUGAGUCCCACGUCUCAAAGCCCAAGCAAGUUGAAAGGGUGCUUUGAGCAUUGUUGAAUGCUUUAUGUGUUACUAAUCCACUGGAGGCAUCUUAUUAAAGGGACACAUGGACUAUAAACUGCGGUAGGGCUUGUAAGACACCUUCUGGCACAUGCCCACCAUUUUGAACGAGACCUGUCAGUACAGGACUGAUACACCCUGCCCUUCCACCUAAAUCUGUUAACGUACCAUUGGUCAAUCACUCUGCCCUGUGCCUCUGAAGAAAAUCUGGGGAUCAUCCUUACCUCUGUUUUCCUGGAUUUAAGAAGAAGUUCCACUCAAGCUUGAUUUAAGAGUACAUGCAAACCUUACUUUUUCAAUGCAAAUAUUUACAUUAUUACUAAUUUUAGUUAAAUUUGAACUCAGUAACCAUGCUGUGAAGAAAUCAACUACCUUUUACAAUUAAUUGGAUGUCAAAGGAUUAAAUGAACACUUAUCUGUAAUCUUAAUUCUGACUAAAAAAAUUAAUGUUAAAACUGUUUCUUUACGUUCAGUUUUACAAGUCAAAACAAAGGUCAAAUGUUGAUAGAAUCCAGGCCAAAGUUAUGGGCAAAUGUUGAUUGAAUCCAGACCUUCUGUCUGAACACACUUGUUCUUUGGCGUCCUCUUGCUCGCUCCUCUUGGGGUAAUAUUUGUUAAAUUCGCCUUCUUUCCGAUGAUAUAUUCCAUGCAGCUGACCUCCCCUUCUCAUGCUCUUCCUCUUCAGCUGAUACAACGCUUUACUGCGCGGCCUUCCUGUGCUCUGUCUCUCCUCUCAGGCAGUUCCAUUGCUCAGUUCCACUCCCAGGCUGAUUGUUGUUGUUGCUGUUGUUGUUGUUGAGAUUUGCUUCGAAACCCCUUGCUCUUGUUUACAGCUGUGCUAAUCCUUCUGUUCCUCAUUAUCAUCAAUCACAUCCUCCUACUCCCCCUUUACAUCUGUUGACAUCCGUGUCUACUUGCGAAAGCUCUUCCAUUUCUCCACUCUGUUCAUAGCUAGAGCUUCAGAUCACAAAAAAAAUGUUUGUGGUUUCGUUUGCAAAAUGCGCAUUUAAUUUCAUGGCAUUGUAAUACGUUGUGAAAAAUAAAAACUAGUCUUUGUGUGUUAGAGACCAAAA